rnacentral:rRNA from 1 species
UACGUAGGGUGCAAGCGUUAAUCGGAAUUACUGGGCGUAAAGCGUGCGCAGGCGGUUAUGUAAGACAGGUGUGAAAUCCCCGGGCUUAACCUGGGAACUGCAUUUGUGACUGCAUAGCUAGAGUACGGUAGAGGGGGAUGGAAUUCCGCGUGUAGCAGUGAAAUGCGUAGAUAUGCGGAGGAACACCGAUGGCGAUGGCAAUCCCCUGGACCUGUACUGACGCUCAUGCACGAAAGCGUGGGGAGCAAACAGG